rnacentral:rRNA from 1 species
AUAUUGGUCAAUGGACGCAAGUCUGAACCAGCCAUUCCGCGUGAAGGAUUAAGGCCCUCUGGGUUGUAAACUUCUUUUAUAGGGGAAGAAAUGUGACGGUUCUCCGUCACUUGACGGUACCCUGGGAAUAAGCACCGGCUAACUCCGUGCCAGCAGCCGCGGUAAUACGGCGGGUGCAAGCGUUAUCCGGAUUCACUGGGCUUAAAGGGUGCGUAGGUGGGCAGAUAAGUCAGUGGUGAAAUCUUCCGGCUUAACCGGGAAACUGCCGUUGAUACUGUUUGUCUUGAAUAUUGCGGAGGUCAGCGGAAUAUCUCAUGUAGCGGUGAAAUGCUUAGAUAUGACAUAGAACACCAAUUGCGAAGGCAGCUUACUACACAAUCAUUGACACUGAGGCACGAAAGCGUGGGUAGCGAACA